rnacentral:rRNA from 1 species
ACUCGAGUGGCGAACGGGUGAGUAACACGUGGGUGAUCUGCCCUGCACUUCGGGAUAAGCUUGGGAAACUGGGUCUAAUACCGGAUAGGAGCCAUCUUUAGUGUGGUGGUUGGAAAGUUUUUUCGGUGUAGGAUGAGCUCGCGGCCUAUCAGCUUGUUGGUGGGGUAAUGGCCUACCAAGGCGGCGACGGGUAGCCGGCCUGAGAGGGUGGACGGUCACACUGGGACUGAGACACGGCCCAG